AUUGAACGCUGGCGGAAUGCUUUACACAUGCAAGUCGAACGGCAGCACGGACUUCGGUCUGGUGGCGAGUGGCGAACGGGUGAGUAAUGUAUCGGAACGUGCCCAGUCGUGGGGGAUAACGUAGUGAAAAUUACGCUAAUACCGCAUACGAUCUAUGGUUGAAAGCGGGGGAUCGCAAGACCUCGCGCGAUUGGAGCGGCCGAUAUCAGAUUAGGUAGUUGGUGGGGUAAAGGCCCACCAAGCCAACGAUCUGUAGCUGGUCUGAGAGGACGACCAGCCACACUGGAAAUGAGACACGGGCCAGACUCCUACGGGAGGCAGCAGUGGGGAAUUUUGGACAAUGGGCGAAAGCCUGAUCCAACCAUUCCGCGUGCAGGAUGAAGGCCCUCGGGUUGUAAACUGCUUUUGUACAGAACGAAAAGGUUUCUACUAAUACUAGGAGCUCAUGACGGUACUGUAAGAAUAAGCACCGGCUAACUACGUGCCAGCCGCCGCGGUAA
rnacentral:rRNA from 1 species